UAGCUCAGUUGGUAGAGCAUGGUGUUUGCAACGCCAGGGUUGUGGGUUCGAUUCUCUC
rnacentral:tRNA from 1 species